rnacentral:lncRNA from 1 species
GCAACUCAAAGCAUGAAUUUUGAAACUGCCACCAUUUUGGAAGCGUCAUGGUGGAUUUGGCUGCUCGUUAGUCGUUAGCUGUGAGCAUUUUCAGAUUUUGGUAACAUAGAAAUGUCACAUUGUAUAAUAGAAGUACCGUAAGAACCUCCGUUAAAAGGAUGCUGGGUUUUUGUUGUUGCCAAGAAUUGGAUUUACGAAGAUGUCUUGUAUACACCAGACAAUUCUUAUUCUCAUGCAUAUAAACUUAGCUUGCUCGUAGAUGGAAAGUACCCAGACAUUAUUGCUUGUGAACGCUUUCAUUCUUUCAAAGUGAUCCACGAAUUUGACUCAUAUGAACAAGCCAGAGUGAAUUUGCCACGAGCUGAGAAAGGCUUACCAAUUUUUACCAGUGAAACUGAAGUUGGAAGAGGUUAUCGACAAAGGAUUGUAAAAAGUAGGAAGCUGCCUGGGGAACUUUCUACGACUGAGCAGGAUGAAAGUGAAAAAGAAGAGGCCAGUCUACCUCCAACAAAAAAGUUAACGCUGAAGAAGAAAAGUACACCUGCUGUGACAAGAAAAUCUUCAUCUGAAACUACUAAGCUUCCUCUCCCACCUCCUACGCUAAGAAGCAAAAGUAAAAAUGUGACGUCAAACAGCAGUCAACAAAUUUCUUAAUCCACUACGAAGAAACCAUCAGUUACAAAUGCCAUUGCUGGGCCAUCCGGACUAUCAGGAAGCAAAAGAAAGCAAUGUGAUGCAGUCAACAAUGUGAAGAGCUGUUCAACUAUUCAGCUGUUCCCGACAAGUAAUUCAAGUCAAGAAAAGCUGAAUGAUGAUUCACCUAACUUGAAUGAUCCGCAGUUCAUGUCCACUCCUUACACUCCCCGGCCGACGCCAUCACCAAGUCCACAUGAUGGUCCGUUGUGUAUCAGUCGACAUUCGGGAACUUCAAUGAAGAAUGUGGAAAAGGGUGGUGCAGUUGCUAAGGUCGUCCUGAUGACUUUAGCCCAAAUGAAUGAAAAGCUAUCUGUUCUCGAAAAGUCCAUGCUGGCGAAACGCGAAACCUGUAGCUGAAGUUUCAGAAGACGAAGGCGACGAUCUGUCCUUUCUUCCCGUUAAAAGCCUUGCUGAUUUCGAGAAAUUCGAGAAACAUCUGAAACAAAACAAGGACGUUUUACUUAAAUUGGUAUCCAUGAUUACCCGACUAGGAAGAAGAAACAUUAAACACUCACAAGGCGAUUAUGUAAGAAGGGCGUGGGCCAGAAGGAUUUACAAUUAUUUCCAUCCAGAAAUGAAGAAGAAAAAGUCAGCAAGCAAAGAACCUGCCAACCUGGAUUCAAUCAAGAAAAUGUUAAUUUGAGUUUUACGUUUUUUUAACAAUAUGUACUGUGGUCUUUUGAGAAUACGUCAACAUUCAUGUGCGAGUGCGAGUAUUUAAUACAGAUUUGUUUUUCA